GGUCAAAAAGACACGGAAAAUAAUCUUAAAUGUUUAGUAAAUAAUGAUACCGAUUCAAAAAAAUCACAGUUUUUGGAUUAUGUAAAUAAAGAACAAUUUUACGAUAGUACACUACUUGGGUUGCAGACUGAGAAUAUACCACAACUCUUGAAGGCAUUGCAAAGCAACAUUCAAAUAAUAAAAUGUGGCUUGCAGGAACUUAGCGAUGACCUUAAAAAAUUGCUAUCCGAGGACUCGUCUCUUACAUGUAGCUCUGUUCAUUCAAUUAAGACAGCGAUAGAUAUUUUAACAAAAUACAUAAAGUAUAUCAACUAUUGUUCUUCGGAAGUAGAGAAA